GACGGAGGGUGCAAGCGUUGCUCGGAAUCACUGGGCGUAAAGGGCGCGUAGGCGGUCAGCACAAGUCAGUUGUGAAAUCUCCGGGCUUAACUCGGAAAGGUCAACUGAUACUGUGCGACUAGAGUGCGGAAGGGGCAACUGGAAUUCUCGGUGUAGCGGUGAAAUGCGUAGAUAUCGAGAGGAACACCUGCGGCGAAGGCGGGUUGCUGGGCCGACACUGACGCUGAUGCGCGAAAGCCAGGGGAGCGAACGGG
rnacentral:rRNA from 1 species